rnacentral:lncRNA from 1 species
UUGAUACUAAAUAAAGGCAACAGUAGUAUACCGCUGUUCAAAACUCAUAAAUUCAUGGACAAAAAACAAAAUCGGGGUAACAAACUAAAACCGAGGGAAACGCAUUAAAUAUAAGAGGAGAACAACGACACAACACUAAAAUGUAACACACACAGAAACGGACCAAGCAUUAGACAAAAUCCAACGAGAAUAACAAAUAUAACAUCAAAACC